UCCCAGGUGGCUCAACCAGUAAAGCGUCUGCCUGCAAUGCAGGAGACCCAGGUUCAAUCCCUGGGUCAGGAA
rnacentral:tRNA from 1 species